ensembl:rRNA 5S_rRNA 5S ribosomal RNA
AACACGCCCGAUCUCAUCUGAUCUCGGAAGAUAAG